CAGAUCAGUCCAACAGUGGCAGACACUCAGUCCACUAAUCCGCAUGUCAUAGAGUUGGGCCAAGCUGUUCACAGCACCACACUGUACAUUGACUCCAACCUAUCACUGCCCUCAGAAGCAGCUGUCCUGUUGCAACUCGUGAGGGAUUGAGAGGACAGUGAACGGCCUCCACAAAGGUUUUCAAGUAGGGUUCAUGGUUCCAUGUGAAGUAUACAGGAUGAAACAGCAGUAUUUUUAUUUAUUGUCUUAUAUAUUCUCAUGACAAUAUGUUAUUUAACAGUAAGCAAUUUGUGCAAGCAGCAAAAAAUAGAAAAAAGGCUUGGAAUGUUAAAUAUCCCGCUGCUACUCACCAUGUUAAAUAAAUACAUCGCAGCUUUUUACAGGCUGGAAUGAAAA